rnacentral:rRNA from 1 species
CGGCAGCACAGCAGUAGCAAUACUGCGGGUGGCGAGUGGCGGACGGGUGAGUAAUGCAUCGGGACCUACCUAGACGUGGGGGAUAACGUAGGGAAACUUACGCUAAUACCGCAUACGUCCUACGGGAGAAAGCAGGGGACCUUCGGGCCUUGCGCGGUUAGACGGACCGAUGUUCGAUUAGCUAGUUGGUAGGGUAAUGGCCUACCAAGGCGACGAUCGAUAGCUGGUCUGAGAGGAUGAUCAGCCACACUGGAACUGAGACACGGUCCAGACUCCUACGGGAGGCAGCAGUGGGGAAUAUUGGACAAUGGGCGCAAGCCUGAUCCAGCAAUGCCGCGUGUGUGAAGAAGGCCUUCGGGUUGUAAAGCACUUUUAUCAGGAGCGAAACGCUGUCGGCUAAUACCCGGCGGAACUGACGGUACCUGAGGAAUAAGCACCGGCUAACUUCGUGCCAGCAGCCGCGGUAAUACGAAGGGUGCAAGCGUUAAUCGGAAUUACUGGGCGUAAAGCGUGCGUAGGCGGUUUGUUAAGUCUGUUGUGAAAUCCCCGGGCUCAACCUGGGAAUGGCAAUGGAUACUGGCAAGCUAGAGUGUGAUAGAGGAUGGUGGAAUUCCCGGUGUAGCGGUGAAAUGCGUAGAGAUCGGGAGGAACAUCAGUGGCGAAGGCGGCCAUCUGGAUCAACACUGACGCUGAGGCACGAAAGCGUG